rnacentral:rRNA from 1 species
UAAUAGCGUAUACUUAAGUUGUUGCAGUUAAAAAGCUCGUAGUCGGAUGUCGGGCUUGGGCAGGCUGUCGGCUUUUGUCGGACGGCAGGCUCGGGCCUUUCUGCCUGGGGACCGCGUCACACUUCACUGUGGGGCGUCGGGACGCAGGCCGUUUACUUUGAAAAAAUUAGAGUGUUCAAAGCGGGCCUACGCUUGAAUACAUUAGCAUGGAAUAAUGGAAUAGGACUUUGGUGCCAUUCUGUUGGUUUAUGGAACCGAAGUAAUGAUUAAUAGGGACAGUUGGGGCCGUUUAUAUUUCGUUGUCAGAGGUGAAAUUCUUGGAUUUACGAAAGAUAAACUUCUGCGAAAGCAUUCGGCAAGGAUGUUUUCAUUGA